rnacentral:lncRNA from 1 species
UUUUCUCAAUGCCCCUUUGGCAAUCAUUAUUUCACCUGACCGUUUGAUCUUUCUUUUCAACAUCUUGAAUAUAGGUUCACACGUGGCUGUUAGAUGAGACGUGAACCAUGACAUGUAGUUCAAUCUAUCUAAGAAACCACGAACCUUCUUCUUUUUUCUCGGUUCAGGCAUUUCUCAUUUUUUCCUUUAUUUUUUUUAUUAUUUUUUUUUUAAACAGGACCAACCUCGAUUCCUCUCUGACAAUGAACCCCAACAAU